rnacentral:rRNA from 1 species
AACGAACGCUGGCGGCAUGCCUAACACAUGCAAGUCGAACGAGACCUUCGGGUCUAGUGGCGCACGGGUACGUAACGCGUGGGAACCUGCCCUUAGGUUCGGAAUAACUCCCCGAAAGGGGUGCUAAUACCGGAUAAUGUCUUCGGACCAAAGAUUUAUCGCCUUUGGAUGGGCCCGCGUUGGAUUAGCUAGUUGGUAGGGUAAAAGCCUACCAAGGCGACGAUCCAUAGCUGGUCUGAGAGGAUGAUCAGCCACACUGGGACUGAGACACGGCCCAGACUCCUACGGGAGGCAGCAGUGGGGAAUAUUGGACCAUGGGCGAAAGCCUGAUCCAGCAAUGCCGCGUGAGUGAUGAAGGCCUUAGGGUUGUAAAGCUCUUUUACCCGGGAUGAUAAUGACAGUACCGGGAGAAUAAGCUCCGGCUAACUCCGUG